rnacentral:rRNA from 1 species
AUUGAACGCUGGCGGCAGGCCUAACACAUGCAAGUCGAACGAGUGGCGGACGGGUGAGUAAUGUCUGGGAAACUUCCCGAUGGAGGGGGAUAACUACUGGAAACGGUAGCUAAUACCGCAUACCAUCGGAUGUGCCCAGAUGGGGUUAGCUCGUAGGUGGGGUAACGGCUCACCUAGGCGACGAUCCCUAGCUGGUCUGAGAGGAUGACCAGCCAAACGGGAACUGAGACAGGGUCCGGACUCCUACGGGAGGAAGCAGUGGGGAAUAUUGCACAAUGGGCGCAAGCCGGAUGCAGCCAUGCCGCGUGUAGGAAGAAGGCCUUCGGGUUGUAAAGUACUUUCAGCGAGGAGGCGUUACUCGCAGAAGAAGCACCGGCUAACUCCGUGCAAGCAGCGGCGGUAAUUC